GGCCACACCUUUGUCUCCAGAGAGAAUAUAAGGCCAGGUGCACAGAGAGAGGGGCAUUCAGAACACCUCUGAUCUUCAGCUCUACACCAGCCUGAGACGUCCACCUGUGACCACACCCAGCCACCUACCUGAGCAGGGCAUUCAGACCUCUGAUCCUCAGCUCUACACCAGCCUGAGACCUCCACCUGUGACCACACCCAGCCACCUACCUGAGCAGCAGCAGAGAUGGGGAACACCAUGCAUGUGUCCAAUGAGACGGCAAGGCUCCUGCGCAUCUACUACAGCAAGACCCCGAUUCUAUGGAAACCCUUGACUAUGCGAAACUCAUCCGGAGGCUUGAUGGCCAAAGAAAGUUCUUGUAUCAAAUUUGUGCGGAUCCCUCCCAAAUUUUACGUCAGCUGUUCCUCGGAUCAGCCAAUGUAUGUCGUAGUGUAUCACAAGGACACUAAGUAUAUUGUAGAUGUCACCUACAUUGACUCUGACCACUCUGUUGUUUUCAGUGAUACAGGGAAAUGCAUGCUCUCAAAUGCCGGUAAAAUUUCAGUGGAUUAGCCUGAAAGACACAGCCAGUGUUACCAUGCUGUACCACACUGUGCAAAAACUGAAGAUCUUUCAGUGGCUGAAAGACUUCCACUUAUAUCACAGCGGACUUGCAUUUGGUGGAUGGUGUUCAAAUAUCUGUAAACCUUUCAUCUUUUUUUGUUCUGCUGCUUAAUAAACUGAAGCAAUCACAAAACCAUCUUGUUUUUCUCAUGUUCAUUUCACAGUCCUGACCUGCCUUCAGUAAGGAAAUCUGGAGAAAGCUUUGUUCCAUU